GGGACACGUGGUAUCCUGUCUGAAUAUGGGGGGACCAUCCUCCAAGGCUAAAUACUCCUGACUGACCGAUAGUGAACCAGUACCGUGAGGGAAAGGCGAAAAGAACCCCGGCGAGGGGAGUGAAAAAGAACCUGAAACCGUGUACGUACAAGCAGUGGGAGCCUCUUAAUGGGGUGACUGCGUACCUUUUGUAUAAUGGGUCAGCGACUUAUAUUCUGUAGCAAGGUUAACCGAAUAGGGGAGCCGAAGGGAAACCGAGUCUUAACUGGGCGUUAAGUUGCAGGGUAUAGACCCGAAACCCGGUGAUCUAGCCAUGGGCAGGUUGAAGGUUGGGUAACACUAACUGGAGGACCGAACCGACUAAUGUUGAAAAAUUAGCGGAUGACUUGUGGCUGGGGGUGAAAGGCCAAUCAAACCGGGAGAUAGCUGGUUCUCCCCGAAAGCUAUUUAGGUAGCGCCUCGUGAAUUCAUCUCCGGGGGUAGAGCACUGUUUCGGCAAG
rnacentral:rRNA from 1 species